rnacentral:rRNA from 1 species
CCUACGGGGCGCUGCAGUGAGGAAUAUUGGUCAAUGGACGCAAGUCUGAACCAGCCAUGCCGCGUGCAGGAAGACGGCUCUAUGAGUUGUAAACUGCUUUUGUACGAGGGUAAACGCAGAUACGCGUAUCUUUCUGAACGUAUCGUACGAAUAAGGAUCGGCUAACUCCGUGCCAGCAGCCGCGGUAAUACGGAGGAUUCAAGCGUUAUCCGGAUUUAUUGGGUUUAAAGGGUGCGUAGGCGGUCGGAUAAGUUAGAGGUGAAAUCCCGAGGCUCAACUUCGGAAUUGCCUCUGAUACUGUUCGGCUAGAGAGUAGUUGCGGUAGGCGGAAUGUAUGGUGUAGCGGUGAAAUGCUUAGAGAUCAUACAGAACACCGAUUGCGAAGACAGCUUACCAAGCUACUUCUGACGUUGAGGCACGAAAGCGUGGGGAGCAAACAGGAUUAGAUACCCGAGUAGUC